rnacentral:rRNA from 1 species
GAUGAACGCUGGCGGCGUGCUUAACACAUGCAAGUCGAACGAAGCACCUCUCCCGAUGAUUGACACAGCUUGCUGUAGAUUGAUUCAUUUGAGGUGACUGAGUGGCGGACGGGUGAGUAACGCGUGGGUAACCUGCCUCAUAGAGGGGGACAACAGUUGGAAACGACUGCUAAUACCGCAUAGUAAGAAUAAUUCGCAUGCUUUCUUCUUGAAAGAUUUAUCGCUAUGAGUUGGAAACGCGUCUGAUUAGCUAGUUGGUAAGGUAACGGCUUACCAAGGCGACGAUGAGUAGCCGGCUUGAGAGAGUGGGCGGCCACAUUGGGACUGAGACACGGCCCGAACUCCUACGGGAUGCAGCAGUGGGGAAUAUUGCACAAUGGGGGAAACCCUGAUGCAGCGACGCCGCGUGAGUGAAGAAGUAUUUCGGUAUGUUAAGCUCUAUCAGCAGGGAAGAUAAUGACGGUACCUGACUAGGAAGCCCCGGCUAACUACGUG